GUAGUCGCUUUUAUGUUUUAUUUUCAAGGAAGUACACGUCGGACGACUCCUAGGCCUCUCGGGAAUGCAUCAUUUUCCGUCCAGUUCACUGAGUACCUCCACACCCCUGUGGGCCAUCUAAGCAAAUUCGAGGCCCAUUUGUUCAUCCCUCAGAGGCCCUCUGUGCGUGCCGAGUGACGGGCAACACACUGUAGGUUCCUUGAGGAGAGCUACAUGUCCAGAGUCCUCGAACGACCUCAGGACAACACUGCUGGUGAGUCCGAAGUGCCCAGGAGGACUUUGUCACGGCCCUUGUGUGAGCUGCCAUGAGAAAACACUCUGCUUUGAAUAUUCCGAGGACCUCACAACUGAAGUCACCAUGCUCGAGGAGAAGGUCAGCAUCUUACUAUGCGGUGUCGCUACCGGCACACCCAGCAUUCACACAUGCCUGAAAGUAUGGCCCCGAUUUGCCGUGCAGAAGCGGAGGCGUGCAGCAGUUUCCAAGAGCCGGUGGCCUCUGCUCUGCGUAUCUUUAACGGCGGCACAGUUUUCUGGACACCUAGGAGGCUAGCGUGGGCACCCUGUUCACGGCAGGAACACUGAGUACCCCCAGACGCACCUGGGUCUGGUAAGCAACAUCCAGUCCCUUAGACCCUUAGAGCCCCUCUGUGCAUGCCGAGCGUAGGGAAACGCACUGCACUCUCUUCUGGAGCAGCUUAAUUUCCUCAGCACUCGCACACGUUCACGAACAACGUCCUGGCACGUCCCACAUGGCGUCGAAGUCUUACGCGUUGCCCUAGUCUGAGCUGCAGUCAGAGAAACCCUCGGCUUCUCAUUCCAUCUAGGACCUCCUGCCUGAAGUCACCGUGCCUCCUGGAGGAAGUCGGCUUGCGUUCUCACUGCAAUUUAAGUCCUGUUCUUCCUGUGGCACUGCGGGCUUUUGAAUAGCCACAGGAGCAGAGGAGCACCUACGGCGUUCCUCGGUUGAGGCAGUGCGCUUGAUGCAGAAGAGCCUACUUCGAGAAACUGAUUCAGGGAGGGAAACACAGGGUAACCUGUGUCUCUUUGGACUUGUU
rnacentral:lncRNA from 1 species